GAUGAACGCUGGCGGCGUGCCUAAUACAUGCAAGUAGAACGCUGAAGCUUGGUGCUUGCACCGAGCGGAUGAGUUGCGAACGGGUGAGUAACGCGUAGGUAACCUGCCUGGUAGCGGGGGAUAACUAUUGGAAACGAUAGCUAAUACCGCAUAACAGUAGAUAUUGCAUGAUAUCUGCUUGAAAGGGGCAAUUGCUCCACUACCAGAUGGACCUGCGUUGUAUUAGCUAGUUGGUGAGGUAACGGCUCACCAAGGCGACGAUACAUAGCCGACCUGAGAGGGUGAUCGGCCACACUGGGACUGAGACACGGCCCAGACUCCUACGGGAGGCAGCAGUAGGGAAUCUUCGGCAAUGGACGGAAGUCUGACCGAGCAACGCCGCGUGAGUGAAGAAGGUUUUCGGAUCGUAAAGCUCUGUUGUAAGAGAAGAACGAGUGUGAGAGUGGAAAGUUCACACUGUGACGGAACUACCAGAAAGGAC
rnacentral:rRNA from 1 species